CCUACGGGCGGCUGCAGUGGGGAAUAUUGGACAAUGGGGGCAACCCUGAUCCAGCCAUGCCGCGUGUGUGAAGAAGGCCCUCGGGUUGUAAAGCACUUUCAGUGAGGAAGAACGCCUGGUGGUUAAUACCCAUCAGGAAAGACAUCACUCACAGAAGAAGCACCGCCUAACUCCGUGCCAGCAGCCGCGGUAAUACGGAGGGUGCGAGCGUUAAUCGGAAUUACUGGGCGUAAAGCGCGCGUAGGUGGCUUGAUAAGCCGGUUGUGAAAGCCCCGGGCUCAACCUGGGAACGGCAUCCGGAACUGUCAAGCUAGAGUGCAGGAGAGGAAGGUAGAAUUCCCGGUGUAGCGGUGAAAUGCGUAGAGAUCGGGAGGAAUACCAGUGGCGAAGGCGGCCUUCUGGACUGACACUGACACUGAGGUGCGAAAGCGUGGGUAGCAAACAGGAUUAGAUACCCGAGUAGUC
rnacentral:rRNA from 1 species